rnacentral:tRNA from 1 species
UCUAAUAUGGCAGAUUAGUGCAACGGAUUUAAGCUCCGUAUAUAAAAUUUAUUAUUUUUGUUAGAA